CAAACGGCCCUUCUAAGGGCCAUAAUUACGCUUCUAGAAAGAGUUAU
rfam:Aedes albopictus isolate Foshan contig66789, whole genome shotgun sequence.